rnacentral:rRNA from 1 species
GAACGCUGGCGGCAGGCCUAACACAUGCAAGUCGUACGAGAAGGUUCCUUCGGGAACUGGAGAGUGGCGCACGGGUGAGUAACGCGUGGGGACCUACCUUUUAGUGGGGGAUAACGGUUGGAAACGACCGCUAAUACCGCAUACGCCCUUCGGGGGAAAGAUUUAUCGCUAAGAGAUGGACCCGCGUUGGAUUAGAUAGUUGGUGAGGUAACGGCUCACCAAGUCUUCGAUCCAUAGCUGGUUUGAGAGGAUGAUCAGCCACACUGGGACUGAGACACGGCCCAGACUCCUACGGGAGGCAGCAGUGGGGAAUAUUGGACAAUGGGCGCAAGCCUGAUCCAGCCAUGCCGCGUGAGUGAAGAAGGCCUUCGGGUUGUAAAGCUUCUUUCAGAUGUGAAGA